rnacentral:rRNA from 1 species
ACGGGGCGCAGCAGGCGCGAAAAUUCCACAAUGGGCGCAAGCCCGAUGGAGGGAUUUGGAGUGCUUUCUCUUUUUGAGAGAGCUUUUCUCAAGUUUAGAUCGCUUGAGGAAUAAACAGUGGGUAAGACGGGUGCCAGCCGCCGCGGUAAUACCCGCGCUGUGAGUGGUGAUCGCGAUUAUUGGGUUUAGAGCGUUCGUAGCCGGUUUGGCAAGUUUCUGAUGAAAUCCCACAGUUAACUGUGGGGCUUGUCAGGGAUACUACCAAACUUGGGACCGGGAGAGGCCAAGGGUAUUCCUAGGGUAGGAGUAAAAUCUUAUAAUCCUAGGAGGACCACCUGUGGCGAAGGCGCUUGGCUAGAACGGAUCCGACGGUGAGGGACGAAAGCUAGGGGAUCAAAGCGGAUUAGAUACCCGCGUAGUCCUAGCUGUAAACGAUACCCACUAAACAUUGGCAACCUCAAGGGGGUUGCCAGAGUUGCAGGGAAACCGCUAAGUGGGUCACCUGGGGAGUACGGCCGCAAGGCUGAAACUUAAGGGAAUUGGCGGGGGAGUACACAAGGGGUGGAGGCUGCGGUUUAAUUGGAUCUAACGCCAGAA